CCACCUCCCACCCGUGUUUACUGUACCUUAGUUGCUUCGGCGGGCCCGCCAUUCAUGGCCGCCGGGGGCUCUCAGCCCCGGGCCCGCGCCCGCCGGAGACACCACGAACUCUGUCUGAUCUAGUGAAGUCUGAGUUGAUUGUAUCGCAAUCAGUUAAAACUUUCAACAAUGGAUCUCUUGGUUCCGGCAUCGAUGAAGAACGCAGCGAAAUGCGAUAACUAGUGUGAAUUGCAGAAUUCCGUGAAUCAUCGAGUCUUUGAACGCACAUUGCGCCCCCUGGUAUUCCGGGGGGCAUGCCUGUCCGAGCGUCAUUGCUGCCCAUCAAGCACGGCUUGUGUGUUGGGUCGUCGUCCCCUCUCCGGGGGGGACGGGCCCCAAAGGCAGCGGCGGCACCGCGUCCGAUCCUCGAGCGUAUGGGGCUUUGUCACCCGCUCUGUAGGCCCGGCCGGCGCUUGCCGAACGCAAAUCAAUCUUUUUCCAGGUUGACCUCGGAUCAGGUAGGGAUACCCGCUGAACUUAAGCAUAUCAAUA
rnacentral:rRNA from 1 species